AACGAACGCUGGCGGCGCGUCUUAAGCAUGCAAGUCGGACGGCAAGGGUAGCAAUACCCCUAGAGUGGCGGACUGGUGAGUAACGCGUGGGUGACCUACCCUUGAGAUGGGGAUAGCCAUUAGAAAUAGUGGAUAAUACCGAAUACGCUCACGACCCUGCGGGGAUGUGAGGAAAUCAGGCUACGGCCUGGCUCGAGGAUGGGCCCGCGUCCCAUUAGCUAGUUGGUGAGGUAAAAGCCCACCAAGGCGACGAUGGGUAUCCGGCCUGAGAGGGUGUACGGACACAUUGGGACUGAGAUACGGCCCAAACUCCUACGGGAGGCAGCAGCUAAGAAUAUUCCGCAAUGGACGAAAGUCUGACGGAGCGACGCCGCGUGGAUGAAGAAGGCCGAAAGGUUGUAAAAUCCUUUUGCUGAUGAAGAAUAAGUGUGGUAGGGAAUGACCGCAUGAUGACAUUAGUCGGUGAAUAAGCCCCGGCUAACUACGUGCCAGCCGCCGCAGUAA
rnacentral:rRNA from 1 species